rnacentral:rRNA from 1 species
AGUGAACGCUGGCGGUAGGCCUAACACAUGCAAGUCGAACGGCAGCACAGUAAGAGCUUGCUCUUACGGGUGGCGAGUGGCGGACGGGUGAGGAAUACAUCGGAAUCUACUUUUUCGGGGGGGAUAACGUAGGGAAACUUACGCUAAUACCGCAUACGACCUACGGGUGAAAGCAGGGGAUCGUCGGACCUUGCGCGAUUGAAUGAGCCGAUGUCGGAUUAGCUAGUUGGCGGGGUAAAGGCCCACCAAGGCGACGAUCCGUAGCUGGUCUGAGAGGAUGAUCAGCCACACUGGAACUGAGACACUGUCCAGACUCCUACGGGAGGCAGCAGUGGGGAAUAUUGGACAAUGGGCGCAAGCCUGAUCCAGCCAUACCGCGUGGGUGAAGAAGGCCUUCGGGUUGUAAAGCCCUUUUGUUGGGAAAGAAAAGCAGCAGGUUAAUACCCCGCUGUUCUGACGGUACCCAAAGAAUAAGCACCGGCUAACUUCGUG